AUCCAGGCUCCUACGGGAGGCAGCAGUGGGGGAUAUUGCACAAUGGGGGAAACCCUGAUGCAGCGACGCCGCGUGGGCGAAGAAGUAUUUCGGUAUGUAAAGCCCUAUCAGCAGGGAAGAAGAAAUGACGGUACCUGAGUAAGAAGCACCGGCUAAAUACGUGCCAGCAGCCGCGGUAAUACGUAUGGUGCAAGCGUUAUCCGGAUUUACUGGGUGUAAAGGGAGCGCAGGCGGCACGGCAAGCCUGAUGUGAAAGCCCGCGGCCCAACCGCGGGACUGCAUUGGGAACUACCGGGCUGGAGUGCCGGAGAGGUAGGCGGAAUUCCUAGUGUAGCGGUGAAAUGCGUAGAUAUCAGGAGGAACACCGGUGGCGAAGGCGGCCUGCUGGACUGCAACUGACGUUGAGGCCCGAAAGCGUGGGGAGCAAACAGGAUUAGAUACCCCAGUA
rnacentral:rRNA from 1 species